AAAAAAUUACACUUAGUGAAAAUUGCUGGAAGGUCCUCAACCUAAGACAUUUAUAGUCACUGUUCCAUCUUUCGAUGAUGCACUGUGGGUAUACAUUCAUUUUGUUUCUUGUCGACCUGUGACCCCAAGAUCUUAAAUUUGUCACGCAUUUCUUUUCAUGUUACGAUUUUAGGGCACCGAGAAAUUCUUCUCUCCUCUUCGCCAUUGUCAUGGCAGAUAGGUCAGCGUAUAGGGCAAAAUGGGAAAAUCCUUCUGACAUCGAGGGUGAUCAUCUGGCAGCCUACAGGAUUAUGUGAAGGAC